CAGCAGCCGCGGGAAUACAGAGGGUGCGAGCGUUAAUCGGAUUUACUGGGCGUAAAGCGUGCGUAGGCGGCUUUUUAAGUCGGAUGUGAAAUCCCUGAGCUUAACUUAGGAAUUGCAUUCGAUACUGGGAAGCUAGAGUAUGGGAGAGGAUGGUAGAAUUCCAGGUGUAGCGUUGAAAUGCGUAGAGAUCUGGAGGAAUACCGAUGGCGAAGGCAGCCAUCUGGCCUAAUACUGACGCUGAGGUACGAAAGCAUGGGGAGCAAACAGGAUUAGAUACCCCUGUAGUCCCUGUCUCUUAUAC
rnacentral:rRNA from 1 species